rnacentral:tRNA from 3 species
CGGGAUGUAGCUCAGCUUGGUAGAGUGCUCGGUUUGGGGCCGAGAUGUCGCAGGUUCGACUCCUGUCAUCCCGA